UAUUGAAGAUAAACGACGCAAUAUCGGUCAACUAUACGGAUAUCUUGAUAAGAUUAUAUAAAAAAAAAAAAAAAAAAAAAAAAAACACACAGAAUCUACAACAAAACGCGAUGGGCAAACGAUAAAAUACAACAAUUAUACGAGACUUGUCCGAUAUUAUUCUACUCGUUAAAUUGUCUGUUUUACCGUUCAAACGGUAAUCGUUCACACGGCGAAAUGAAUAUUGUAAAUUAUUCGAAAUAUAAUAUUUCAUGCACGAAACACCAACGAAGGCAAUUAUUAUUGAUGUUAUAAACAAUUAUUAUUGUUGACAUAUGCCGUAUUUGCACAUCUGUCUCUUACUUGUAUACUUGGGGGCGAAUUUAGUGGUCCUUUUAGGAGUAGAAGGGGGGACAGGCGAAUUGGCGAUUCAGUUUUGUUUCUCUA